AUUACCACUGUUAGCAUUAUUACAUGACAUAAUCUCCCAGGAGGUAGGAGAGGGCGGAAACCUCAGAAGUCCUCUGCAGCCCUGACAUUUUACAAAUGGGAAAGCUGUGUCACAGACAGCAAGUCUGGGGAGACAGAACUAGAACCCAGAACCCAAAUCAUCUGGCUCCCAGCCAGUGCGUGGACAUUUUUAUACUCAUCUGUGAGCUUUUAAAAGAAAAGAUCCCACCUGGUCUUCAGAUAAUCAAGGCUUGUGCCCCUCUGGUUAGCUCCUCCUCUCCAAUGCACUUUGCUACAUUCCUCUGCAAAUUCAGAUCUCUACUUAAACACCACUUCCUCUGGUACACUUUCCACGAUUCCCUUAGGCUGUCAUUGCUGUGUGCACUUUGUCGCCCGUCAUAGACCUUAUCCAGUGUCUGGAAGUCAAGAUUACAAGGGGAGAAGAGGCAAAAGAUGAGGCUGAAAAAAUAACUUCGUUUGGUUCAUUCCUUCCUUCUUCCUUGAAUUCUUCUCCAGCCGGCCUGUAUCACAAUGUCUGCAAUUACUAGAGCCUCCUACUGGCUGGGCAUGGUGGCUCACACCUGUAAUCUCGGUACUCUGGGAAGCCAAGGCUGGAGGAUCACUUGAGACCAGCCCAGCAACAUGUCUCUACAAAAAAUAAAAAAUUACCAGGGGUAGUGGCGCA